UACGUGGGGGGCAAGCGUUGUUCGGAAUUACUGGGCGUAAAGGGCUCGUAGGUGGCCAACUAAGUCAGACGUGAAAUCCCUCAGCUUAACUGGGGAACUGCGUCUGAAACUGAUGAGCUUGAGUGCAGGAGAGGAACGCGGAAUUCCAGGUGUAGCGGUGAAAUGCGUAGAUAUCUGGAGGAACACCGGUGGCGAAGGCGGCGUUCUGGACUGCAACUGACACUGUAAAACGAAAGCCAGGGGAGCAAACGGG
rnacentral:rRNA from 1 species